CUGCAGACUCCCUGACUUGAGUCUCUCUUCAGGGUGCCAUGGGCAAGGCCGGAGACCCAGGGAGAGACGUAAGUAAGGGGGGGAUGUUAGGAUGGA
rnacentral:pre_miRNA from 8 species